GAUGAAGAACGUAGCGAAAUGCGAUAAGUAAUGUGAAUUGCAGAAUUCAGUGAAUCAUCGAAUCUUUGAACGCACCUUGCGCCCUUUGGCCAUUCCGAAGGGCAUGCCUGUUUGAGUAUCAUGAACACCUCAACUCUUUAUGGUUUUCCAUGAUGAGCUUGGACUCUGGGGGUUUUGCUGGCUCACAGUCGGCUCCUCUAAAAUGAAUCAGCUUACCAGUGUUUGGUGGGUAUCAUGGGUGUGAUAACUAUCUACGCUUGUGGUUUUUCCACCAGGUAACCUUCAGCAGUGGAGGUUCGCUGGAGCUCAUAGAUGUCUCUCCUCAGUGAGGACAGCCCUUUGAAUGUUUGAUCUCAAAUCAGGUAGGACUACCCGCUGAACUUAAGCAUAUCAAUAAGCCGAGGA
rnacentral:misc_RNA from 1 species